rnacentral:rRNA from 1 species
AACCUUCCGUACACUCAGGGAUAGCCUUUCGAAAGAAAGAUUAAUACCUGAUGGUAUGAUGAGAUUGCAUGAUAGCAUCAUUAAAGAUUUAUCGGUGUACGAUGGGGAUGCGUUCCAUUAGGUAGUAGGCGGGGUAACGGCCCACCUAGCCAACGAUGGAUAGGGGUUCUGAGAGGAAGGUCCCCCACAUUGGAACUGAGACACGGUCCAAACUCCUACGGGAGGCAGCAGUGAGGAAUAUUGGUCAAUGGACGAGAGUCUGAACCAGCCAAGUAGCGUGAAGGAUGAAGGUCCUACGGAUUGUAAACUUCUUUUAUAAGGGAAUAAACCCUCCCACGUGUGGGAGCUUGUAUGUACCUUAUGAAUAAGCAUCGGCUAACUCCGUGCCAGCAGCCGCGGUAAUACGGAGGAUGCGAGCGUUAUCCGGAUUUAUUGGGUUUAAAGGGAGCGCAGACGGGUCGUUAAGUCAGCUGUGAAAGUUUGGGGCUCAACCUUAAAAUUGCAGUUGAUACUGGCGUCCUUGAGUGCGGUUGAGGUGUGCGGAAUUCGUGGUGUAGCGGUGAAAUGCUUAGAUAUCACGAAGAACUCCGAUUGCGAAGGCAGCACACUAAUCCGUAACUGACG